rnacentral:rRNA from 1 species
CACGUAGGCACCAAGCGUUGUCCGGAUUUAUUGGGCGUAAAGAGCGUGUAGGCGGCCAGGUAGGUCAGCUGUGAAAACUCGAGGCUCAACCUCGAGACGUCGGUUGAAACCACCUGGCUAGAGUCCGGAAGAGGAGAGUGGAAUUCCUGGUGUAGCGGUGAAAUGCGCAGAUAUCAGGAAGAACACCCGUGGCGAAGGCGGCUCUCUGGGACGGUACUGACGCUGAGACGCGAAAGCGUGGGGAGCAAACAGG